rnacentral:rRNA from 1 species
UACGUAGGGUGCAAGCGUUAAUCGGAAUACUGGGCGUAAAGCGUGCGCAGGCGGUUUUGUAAGUCUGACGUGAAAUCCCCGGGCUCAACCUGGGAAUUGCGUUGGAGACUGCAAGGCUAGAAUCUGGCAGAGGGGGGGUAGAAUUCCACGUGUAGCAGUGAAAUGCGUAGAGAUGUGGAGGAAUACCGAUGGCGAAGGCAGCCCCCUGGGAUAACACUGACGCUCAUGCACGAAAGCGUGGGGAGCAAACAGG